rnacentral:rRNA from 1 species
UACGUAGGGGGCAAGCGUUGUCCGGAAUCAUUGGGCGUAAAGCGCGUGUAGGCGGUCCGGUAAGUCCGCUGUGAAAGUCGGGGGCUCAACCCUCGAAUGCCGGUGGAUACUGUCGGGCUAGAGUGCGGAAGAGGCGAGUGGAAUUCCUGGUGUAGCGGUGAAAUGCGCAGAUAUCGGGAGGAAUACCGAUGGCGAAGGCAGGUCUCUGGGCUGACACUGACGCUCAUGCACGAAAGCGUGGGGAGCAAACAGG